rnacentral:misc_RNA from 1 species
AAGUCGUAACAAGGUUUCCGUAGGUGAACCUGCGGAAGGAUCAUUAACACGUAUCCAACGUUAAACCCCCCGUGAACCUUCAUUGUGCUCCCCCAUUCCGUUAGGACGCGGCAAUCCCUGGUAAAUCAUCGCCGAACAGUUUUGAUUCAGGGACCUCUGCAUGGAGUGGGCAGCAGCGCGAGGCAAGUGGCCUGGCAUUCGAAAGAAUGGCGCAGUAACGAUCGCUAGAGGCCGACACGGCCGGCGACCGGGUCACUGGGCUCACGCGGCCACCAAACUCGAACAACUGUUAACAAUGGAUAUCUUGGUUCUC